GGCUAUACCAUCCUGAACGCGCCUGAUCUCGUCUGAUCUCAGAAGCUAAACUGGGUUGGGCCUGGUCAGUACUUGGAUGGGAGAAAGUAGGGCAAAAUGCCC
rnacentral:rRNA from 1 species